rnacentral:rRNA from 1 species
CCUACGGGAGGCAGCAGUGAGGAAUAUUGGUCAAUGGACGAGAGUCUGAACCAGCCAAGUAGCGUGAAGGAUGACUGCCCUAUGGGUUGUAAACUUCUUUUAUAAAGGAAUAAAACGAGGCACGUGUGCCUUUUUGUAUGUACUUUAUGAAUAAGGAUCGGCUAACUCCGUGCCAGCAGCCGCGGUAAUACGGAGGAUCCGAGCGUUAUCCGGAUUUAUUGGGUUUAAAGGGAGCGUAGAUGGGUUGUUAAGUCAGUUGUGAAAGUUUGCGGCUCAACCGUAAAAUUGCAAUUGAUACUGGCAGUCUUGAGUACAGUUGAGGUAGGCGGAAUGCGUGGUGUAGCGGUGAAAUGCAUAGAUAUCACGAAGAACCCCGAUUGCGAAGGCAGCUUACUAAACUGUGACUGACAUUGAUGCUCGAAAGUGUGGGUAUCAAACAGGAUUAGAUACCCUUGUAGUC